CCGCGCGCUCGGCGGCGGCGAUGACGUCGACUGCCUGCCAGGCGGCGAAGUUCGAGAUGCCCAGCGCGGUGAUCUUGCCUUCGGCGCGCAGG
rnacentral:tRNA from 1 species